rnacentral:rRNA from 1 species
UGGGGAAUCUUGCACAAUGGGCGCAAGCCUGAUGCAGCCAUGCCGCGUGAGUGAAGAAGGCCCUAGGGUUGUAAAGCUCUUUCAGUGGUGAAGAUAAUGACGGUAACCACAGAAGAAGCCCCGGCUAACUCCGUGCCAGCAGCCGCGGUAAUACGGAGGGGGCUAGCGUUGUCCGGAAUUACUGGGCGUAAAGCGCACGUAGGCGGACGAUCAAGUUGGGGGUGAAAGCCCGGAGCUCAACUCCGGAAUUGCCUCCAAAACUGGUUGUCUGGAGUCCGGGAGAGGUGAGUGGAAUUCCUAGUGUAGAGGUGAAAUUCGUAGAUAUUAGGAAGAACACCAGUGGCGAAGGCGGCUCACUGGCCCGGUACUGACGCUGAGGUGCGAAAGCGUGGGGAGCAAACAGGAUUAGAUACCCCCGUAGUCC